UGGGGAAUAUUGCACAAUGGAGGGAACUCUGAUGCAGCGACGCCGCGUGAACGAAGAAGGCUUUCGAGUCGUAAAGUUCUUUUAUAUGUGAAGAUAAUGACGGUACCAUAAGAAAAAGCCCCGGCUAACUACGUGCCAGCAGCCGCGGUAAUACGUAGGGGGCUAGCGUUGUCCGGAAUCACUGGGCGUAAAGGGUUCGCAGGCGGAAAUGCAAGUCAGGUGUAAAAGGCAGUAGCUUAACUACUGUAAGCAUUUGAAACUGCAUAUCUUGAGAAGAGUAGAGGUAAGUGGAAUUUUUAGUGUAGCGGUGAAAUGCGUAGAUAUUAAAAAGAAUACCGGUGGCGAAGGCGGCUUACUGGGCUCAUUCUGACGCUGAGGAACGAAAGCGUGGGUAGCAAACAGG
rnacentral:rRNA from 1 species